rnacentral:rRNA from 1 species
GCAGCCGCGGUAAUACGUAGGUGGCAAGCGUUGUCCGGAUUUACUGGGUGUAAAGGGCGUGUAGACGGGUUUGCAAGUCAGAUGUGAAAUACCGCAGCUUAACUGCGGGGCUGCAUUUGAAACUGCAAGUCUUGAGUGCGGGAGAGGAAAGCGGAAUUCCUAGUGUAGCGGUGAAAUGCGUAGAUAUUAGGAGGAACACCAGUGGCGAAGGCGGCUUUCUGGACCGUAACUGACGUUGAGGCGCGAAAGCGUGGGUAGCAAACAGGAUUAGAUACCCC